GUGCGCUUUGCCGUUUAAAUUUCUUUUGUACAACUAGAAACUGGCGGAAGAUUACAAAUUAUAAUGUACUUCAUAUUGUCUAUUUUGUUCAUUUCUUUUAUCCUAAAUGCUGAUACCACCCAGCCACUAACUGAUGAGCAACUUUUAAAACAAAAAUUCGAAGACGCAAAAAAAUGGUACAAAGUUGCUGAGGGCAAAGGCCUUACAGAGAAACAUGUGAAGGAUAUGGUGGGUUUCCCGAAUUCAAAAAAAAUAGACGAAUUUUUUAAUAAAUAUGAAUAUACACCAGAACAACGAAAUGACAUACAGCUUCCAUUGUUUGAGCUUAUUAUGUCAUCAUUCCAUAUGGUGAAAUCGUUUAGAACGACACUCAAUCAACCGAGCGGAUAAAAUAUGUGUUUACAAGAAGAAUUAAAUGCUAAUGUUAAGAUCAUAUUGUUUUUGAAAAUGUAAGCGUUUGAGUAAUUAUUUAAAUGUUUCAUUAUGUUGUAUACUAUAGUUAAAACAAAUUAUGACUCGUUAUAAAUGAGUAAGUUUAAUAGAAAUGUAAUACAAUAUG